rfam:Salmo salar isolate Sally breed double haploid chromosome ssa13, whole genome shotgun sequence.
UUCCAAAGAUUUUGUAAGUCGCUCUGGAUAAGAGCGUCUGCUAAAUGACGUAAA